CAUCUUAACCAGCCAUGGUAACAGCCUUGUCACGGUCUACGAGGCACACCAGUAACCAUCACUUUGACGCCCGUUACAUGGCAGCCUUGUGCUUUGCUGAAGGCCAACCUCAGUACUAACGUAAGAACUAUGUAGUCCUACCGCUACUCCACAUGCUAGCCAUCUGUCAAGGCUUGAUAGCACGACAAGUGCAGAUGCUCAUGCAACACUUAUGCAACACUACCGCAAGUCCAUACGUACAUGCAACAAUACGCCUAGUCAUGUCUGCGUGUGAACGUGCAACUAGCCACUGGCAGCAACCACUUGCAUGUCUGCUGGGCACAACGUCUCUGACCCACCACCUUGACGCCCGCCGCCACCACAGCUACCAUGCCAAACUAUGCCACUGGCGCCGCCGCGCCCGCCUCCAUCUCUAGCGCCAGACAGCUGGUGUCACGCUGGCUCCUGUAGUUUUGCUUCCACCGGCAGCGCCUGCAUGCACGCGUGCACACACAUAGACACACCCAGUUAAUCGUCUGCCACAAGACGGGUAGGUGCCAAUGCAUGUCAAGGCCAGCCAUGGACAGAGUGCUUGGCAGUGCACGGGGCCUACUACACAAGGCGUGUCUGUGUGCACAUGUGCAUGUGUGUGCGUCCACACGUGUCACGGACACAUGUGUGUGCGUCCACACGUGUCACGGACACUCACCGUUGAUGAGCACAAUGCUGGAGGUGUAGGGGCAGUCCAGCCAACCGUACGGUCCAUAGGGUACAACAGGGGUUGGGCAGCAAGCUGUCGCGGGGCAGGGUGUGUGCGUGCGGAGGGGGGCGGGGUGGUAUGUGAGACACUAGGCGUACCGUGGCAAGGGAGCCAUAAAAACACCUUACAGCGAGCGCUGGUAAGGGAGGCAGCAGACAGUCACUAGUUGUAGGCGGGGGCUCCACCAGACAACCCAACACAGCGCGAGAAGAUGAACCAUGCACUGGCUUGCGAGGUACCACUAGGUUCAACGCAUCCCAUCGUCAUUCAACCUGCGGACUAACCUGCGGACUAACCUGCGGACUAUGGCGUGCGGGGCGAGGGUGAUGUUGACAGAACGCGAUGUUGAAUGGCGUUGUUGACGCCGGCCACCGAGACUUCUCGGUCGGACAUUUGAAGCGCAGCUGAUAGAUUAUGAGGCAUAGUCGUUUCUCUCACGUAAUAGCUGGCUGCAGCUGACGUGUGAGCAGCGUUGCCAAGCCGGUCAACGAGCAGUCAGCAGCGUGAGGACUCACGUCCCAAGCCAGCCAAGCAGCGUCUGCCGCCAGCUCUUGUUCUAAUGACAUUUGAGCUAGCAUAAAUUUGUGUUACAAAGAGAAGUAGCAAGCGCGAGAGAGCAAAGUGGGGGAGAGGAACAGAAGUGCAGCGGCACCGGCAUGAAGUGCAGUGUAUCAGUAUAUGUAUGGUACUAUAUCAGUGUAUGUGUAGUAGUAUCAGGGGCCGCUCUAUGCUGCUUGUUAAGUCAGGCCCGCGAGAACCCCAUGCAGGAACCCUGGUUACCCCUCGCGAAGGCCCCCGUUACCCCUGGCUUAGGGUCGUUACCACGCCCAAGGGUCCCUGUCACAAUGUCACACAGUCGGCCUACAGCCCCCAGACUUCCUCGUUCGCG
rnacentral:lncRNA from 1 species